UGGCAGUCUGUUUUGGCGGUUCGCUGUCGCGGCGUCUGCAAGAGGAUUAUGUUUUCACCUACCACAGAUGAAACCAUCGAUGAAGAAGCCUAAGCCAGCCGAAAACAGAAAUGUCGGUAGUUUCUUCAAGUUACGGACAUGGAUGGAGCUUGCCAGGGAUUGUGGCUUUUGAACAAGAUUCAGGAAAAACAAACUAAUAGAAAACGAUAAAAUCCUCAAGUACAGAUGAAUGCUCAACCAUGCAGAGGUCGCUCGUCCUACGACGGUUCAAUUGAAAGAAACCACAUCAGCGAUUCAUCACCUGGGCAAAAGAAUCAUCAGUGAAAAAGCAGAUAACUGACAAGGACUGCCACUGAACGUGAAAAGAAAGCAGAGACACUACACUUCUAGAGUGCAUUUUUGCUAAUCUAGAGUAAGCGUGCCAAAUGGUUAGUAGCACGUAAUUGCAAGAUGUAGCGAUUAGAUAAGGUAACUGGAAAUAUAA